rnacentral:misc_RNA from 1 species
GUGGCAGCAGCAACUGCAUGGUGGGCAGCUCAUGGACUACUUCCUUUAUGCGCUCCUCUUCAUGCUUCCUUUACAUGCCCUCCUCCUGCAACUGCAGUUCCAUCAAUGGAUGCUGGCCAAGUUCCUGCAGGCAAGACAGAAAGAAAGGAAACUACUCUCGAAAAUCCACCUUUGCAAGAUCAGCAAUUGGAUCUUGAACACUCAGAAGCUUUGCAAUCUCAAAAUUCAGCCUCUAAAGAUAGUGGAUGCACGAAGCAAAAUAUUGUAUCAAAAGCUACUGACCGUGAAAUGGCUGCAACAGCACCUGAGAUCCAUGACUUAAGCAAACUGAAAAACAGAAAACAGGUUGACCGUUCU